UUGGGGAUGCUGGAUGGUACUGCAUCAGAUCAAUCCUAUUUGCAGCUAACUACGAACUACCUAAAACUGUUGUUGCCUUGCGGGAGCCUAUUUUUAAUGAUGCUGGCGUGGUUAUAUCUUGUGGGGCAUCUCUACGUUGGGAAGAUGGGAAAGUAGCAACCUUCCAUUGCUCCUUUUUGGGAAACUUGACAACGGAUGUUACUGCAAUAGGGACCAAAGGAACUCUUCAUAUCCAUGAUUUCAUCAUUCCUUUUCAGGAGCAGGAGGCCAGUUUUCAGACAAAUACAAAAGCUGGUUUUAAUGAGCUAGCGACCGGAUGGGUAUCAGUUCAAAGCGAGUGCACUGUUCCCACGGAUAUCCCCCAAGAAGGUUGUAUGGUGAGAGAGUUUGCUCGCCGAGUUGGAGAGAUCAAAAGAAAUGGUGCAAAGCCUGACAAAAAGUGGCCAACAAUUAGUAGGAAGACGCAACAAGUGAUUGAUGCAGUCAUGGCGUCAAUUCAGCACGGAUUUCAGCCUGUUGAAAUCGUGAAUUAAUCGAUACUUUUGUAUGGUGAAAGUAAGCAUUUGCAUUCUAAAUAAAGAAGAUAAACAUAUGUCUUUCUGAUUCCCACUAUAUGUAAGUAUAUAUCAUGUAAGAUUGUGACUUACUACAUUCACACGAAUAUCAGGUGUCCUUAUACUUUCUCUCUCAGAUUUACACUAUUUCGCUCUAUCUCCAGUCUUAUCUUGCGUUUGCAGUCGCCGUCGGAGUUCCAGAGUCUUCGUCUCUUUCCGUCGGUGAUCAUCUGCAAUGAUUUAUAUUUGGCAACACCGGCAGUCAGCUAGUAAAGAAAUAUUGUAGGUGAUGAUGCUAUUAGAUUGAAAUUAGGCCUUACAAAUUUUACAAUUUUUUUUUCUUUUUCUGGUAAAGAACAUCGAGUUCUAAUGACAUAUUUACGAACCUUUUAAAAUUUUAAAUUACAUAUCAUGAUAUCGAGUUUUGAUGCUUGAUUAUCCAGUUGUGCUGAUUUCUUCUCUUCCAUGUCAUUAACUUAUGCUCUGCUCUAUACUAGGGUUCGUUGAGUGCUUUGUUUUUUUUUUUAUGUUAUUUAAUCAAUUAAACAAUAUAUCAACCAAGUCUCGGCACAAGAAAACAGUCGGUUGAUGUUGUGAAAGCACCUCGAAGUUCAUUUACAUAUCCAGCUCUGCCCUCCGAGCUGCCGCCAUUAACGGAUCCGUGGAGCUUACAGAGUAACGUCGUGAAAAAUCUGAAGCCUUGCGACACGAAGGCGCACAAUCCUACUGCGCACCCGACCGUACUCGUUUUCAUUUCUUCUCCAUGCUGGUAGAUUAUAAUAACAGAGGCAACAAUUAUAUAUUAUACAUACAGUUCCCACUCGUAUAUAUUUUAAAAUAGUGUUCUUCGUUUUUUUCAGCGCGCAGAGAUUCAGAGAAUGAGUAUGCUGGAAGAGGACGGAUAUGCUUGACUUAUCCAAUUUCGUUGGGGUGCCACGUGGCAGAUUUUCAAAGCACGAGCUGGCAUCUUCUCGAAGAAAGUCUUUACCUGAUGCCGCCACGUGGCUGCCAUGUUGAGUGAAUGUAGAUAAGUUUCUAAAGUCUCCAAGCUGAAAAUUAUGAUUAUUUUUAUAACAAAUUAUAAAAUUAUAAAAUUAACAUUUAAAUUAAUUAAGAGAAAUUAUAAAUUUUAAUAAAAUAAUUAAAAGCUGAGUAAUAAUUAAAAAAAAUUAUUUGGAAUAAAUCUUAAGAAUUUUUAGAUAUUCUAUAAAUGGAUUAGUUUAAGUAUCAGAAUAAAUGGAUUUUUUUUUAUUGAAUUUACUUAUUUUGGAAUUGAAAAAUUAUAAAGUAAAAAAAAAAAAAAAUUAAUAAUUCGUGAGGCAAUUGAGUACAACAACUUUAAUCAAUUUUGCCCGUAGUGUUAUUAAUGAUAAUAAUGCUAUUUUUUAUUAAAAUUAAUUAUUAAAUAAUUUAAGACUAUAUUUAAAUAAUUUUGAAUUUAAUUAUAAACAAUAAUCAUGUUAAUUAUUAGAGUGCAUAAAUAUAUUAGGAUGAGGAAAAAGAACAGAGUAUAUAUAUAUAUAUAUAUAAUGUUACGUGUAAUUGUGUAAUUGAAAUAAUGCACUUCAGAAUUUUAGACAAAAAUUAGAAUUUUCUGUUUUAAUUAUCUAAUAAAUUAUAUAUGCACUUAGUUUUUUUUAUUUGGAAGAGUUUUAUUACUAUUUUUAAAUUAAAUAAACGUAAUUAAAUUUCACAUAAAUUUUAAAUUAUUAUAAACAUAAUUUAAAAUAAAAAAUUUAUAAAUAAAGUGACAUAAAUUGGUUAUUGCAUUCUGUCCAAAGGUGUGUUUUCUACUGCUUCUCCUUCACUCGCUCUCUCAACUCUCUCGCGCUCUCGCCCACGGGAAACUCCCCAUGGCCGCCGAAAAUCCGAUCCGAAUCGGCAUAAUGGGCUGUGCAGAAAUAGCGCGAAAGGUCUCGCGUGCCGUCACCUUGGCGCCUAACGCAACGCUGGCAGCCGUUGCCAGCCGCUCCAUCGAGAAGGCCACAGCCUUCGCGCGAGCCAACUGCUUCCCGGCUGAAGCCAAGAUCUACGGCUCCUACGAGGCCCUCCUUGAAGACCCCAACAUCGACGCCAUCUACUGCCCCCUCCCCACGGGUUUCCACGUGCAGUGGGCAGUGGCGAUCGCUCAGAAGGGUAAGCAUUUGUUGCUUGAGAAGCCGGUUGCGCUCAACGUCGCAGACUUUGACACGAUUCUCGAGGCCUGCGACGCUAAUGGCGUUCAGAUUAUGGACGGUACCAUGUGGAUGCAUCAUCCCCGGACGCAGAAGAUGAAGGAGUUCCUCUCUGAUCCGGAAUGUUUUGGGCAGCUCAAGACGGUAUUAUAUACCCACAUUAAUACUGAAUUCUUUAAUACUUGCAUGCAUUUUAAUGUUUUUUAUUAUUUCCCUGCUUCAAGCUUUAGCUGUCUCGACUUUUGUUUACUUGGGGUUUGGUGUGGAGUCCAAAUGGAAAUUAAAAAUUCAUAAUAAUACUCUCUCUUUCUCUCUCUCUUUCUCCGUUUUCCUACAUUUCUCUUGUUAUUACUUAAACUCUUUUAAGUUUUGGUUUGAUUCGUUAGAGUUUUUCUUUUUGGGUUAAAACCGAGUUAUUUUUGUUCUUUUGAAAAAUUCCCAUGAUUUUGGUAAUUACAGUUUGGGGUCAGUUCUUCUGGUUCUGACCUAGGCUUGAAUUCUGGGUUUGGGUUAAGACUCACUGGGUUUUCUUUGGGACCUACACUGAAGAGUUUGAAUGUGAUUCUAUCCAGUUUACUUCCCCAAGAAACUUCCGCUGCUACUCGAUUCUUAAAUUUAAACUGUUGAAAUAUACUAAUUAUGAAGAUGCAGCUCAAAAACAGUUUUAGAAUAAGAAUCCGUAGAUAAAAUAAAUAGUUAAGUGAAGGUAAUACUUUAGAUCCGUGUUCAAGUUAAGUUAGAGAGACUUAUGAACGAAUUAUACCUUGAUAAGCACAUGGAAAUUUAUCCUUAUGGAAUUAAUUAUUGUGUAGAGGUGGUUCAUCGCGAAUCAAAAAAUGAAAUUAUAAUUAAAUUCUAAAUAAUUAAGGUCUAAUGCUUCUUUGCUUGAUACUGAAUUCUGUAUGCAACAUGUGGACAAAUUAAGUACAACGAGAAGCUUGCAAUGGAUUAGGACAUCCAUGCAUAUUUCUUUUCUUUUCUUUUCUUCCUCUGUUGCCAGCGAUGUAUUAAUCAAACUAUCCUCUAGUAGAGGUUCAGGAUUAUUGUUACAUGGCAUGUGUUUGAAUGUGGAUUCUUAACCUUUGCAUUGUUUCUAUUCAAAUUUUUAGUUUCCGUCAUUACCUAAUGAUUUCUCCUUUUGGAUCCCACAGAUACACAGCUACUUCACAUUUUCUGCUGAUCCCGAUUUUCUCAAGAAUGAUGUUCGUGUUAAGCCAGAUCUCGAUGGUCUUGGUGCUCUUGGGGAUGCUGGAUGGUACUGUAUCAGAUCAAUCCUAUUUGCAGCUAACUACGAACUACCUAAAACUGUUGUUGCCUUGCGGGAGCCUGUUUUCAAUGAUGCUGGUGUAGUUCUUUCUUGUGGGGCAUCUCUACAUUGGGAAGAUGGGAAAGCAGCAACCUUCUAUUGCUCAUUCCUGGGAAACUUGACAAUGGAUGUUACUAUGAUAGGGACAAAGGGAACUCUUCAUAUCCAUGAUUUCAUCAUUCCUUU
rnacentral:lncRNA from 1 species